AUGUUUACUUUGGCAGCACAUAUAGUAAAACUGGAACACUGAAGAUUAGUAUGUGCCCUGUGUGAAGAUGACAUGCAAAUUUGUGAAGCAUUUCAUAUUUUU